AUUUAAAGUCUAGCCUGCCCACUGAAAUUAAUUUUAAUGGCCGCAGUAUUUUGACUGUGCAAAGGUAGCAUAAUCAUUAGUUUUUUAAUUGAAAGCUUGUAUGAAAGGUUGGACGAGGUAAAAUCUGUCUCUAUUUAAUUUAUUUUAGAAUUUAAUUUUUAAGUUAAAAAGCUUAAAUUUUAUUAAAAGACGAGAAGACCCUAUAGAUCUUUAUAAUUUUUUUUAUAAAUUUAAUUAUGAAUUAUUUAGAAUUUAUAAUAUAAAUUAUUUUAUUGGGGUAAUAAAAAGAUUAAAAUAAUUCUUUUUUAUUUUUAACAUUAAUUUAUGAAUUUAAUGAUCCAAUUUUAUUGAUUAUAAGAUUAAGUUACCUUAGGGAUAACAGCGUAAUUUUUUUAGAGAGUUCAUAUCGAUAAAAAAGUUUGCGACCUCGAUGUUGGAUUAAAGAUUAGUUUAGGUGUAGAAGUUUAAAUUUUUGGUCUGUUCGACCAUUAAAUCUUUACAUGAUCUGAGUUCAGACCGGCGUAAGCCAGGUCGGUUUCUAUCUUUAAUAAUUUUAAAAUAUUUUAGUACGAAAGGACCAAAUAUUUAAUAUAUUUAUAUUUUAUUUUUUGAAUAUUAUUAAAUUGUUUUGGCAGAUUAGUGUAAUGAAUUUAGAAUUCAUAAAUGUAAUUAUUUUUACAAACAAUACUUGUUUUAUAUAGAUUUAAUUUUUUCUUUAAUUUGUAUAUUUUUAUUAAUUAUUUGUGUUUUAGUUGGGGUAGCAUUUUUAACUUUAUUAGAG
rnacentral:rRNA from 1 species